CUCUUAAAGAGACAGAGGAAGAGAUUAAGAAACUCCCUUUAACAAGCCCCUCUUCCUACAUGAAGCCUUUCUUAUCUUCUCUCAGUUAUCAGUACUUGUUCCCUCCUUAGAUUUGUUUAUUUUUCUAUUAACAUGUUAUGACCCUCUUCCUUCCUUCCACUAGGAUGAUAGCUACUUAAGAAGAAGGGAUUACUAAGGAGUCGCUGCACAGUGUAAAGAAGCACAAGGUCAAGGAGACCAACAAUCCCUGCGAGGAUCUUCACCGAGAGAGAGGACUUGUUUUGAGGUGCAUCUCUCUGUGCUUGGUUUCCAGGAUCUUCUCUCAAUUGAGUUUCCCAUUCAAAGAACUAGGAUGCUCAAAAACAGGAGUAAUUGAAGUGAGGGAAGGAGAGGGAGGUGUGUGGCUUUAUGAUAAGGACUCAUCAUCUAUAUUGGAAUGUCAAGACACAAAUCCAAGAAAAGAAUGGAAAUAUUUCAGAGAAAGGAAGGAAGAGGACAAGUAUAUUUGAUUUUUAUUCAAACCUGACCAUCUUAAGAUUUCCAUGCUAACAGUGGGAAAGAAGAGAGAAAGCAUAAAUAUCGGGGAAAACUCAUUUUUCGAAAGUUCCAGCCCACCCAGAAGAGGUUUUCCCUUCUAAAGCUGGUACUUCUUGCUUUUUUGAAGAGCUGCUACUUCCAUCUGUUGCUUCUGCUGAGCUGCUACUAUCAUCAGCUUUCUCUAUGCCAAGUUGCAGUUGCUAGGUAUCUCCUUACAAACAUGAAUGCAUCGCAGCUCUUUUGUGAGUUAUCCCAUAGUUUUCAAGGUUCUUCCUUUUUUAUAAAGCCAGAACCAUAAUAUGUUCAGUCAUCACAAGAGUUAUUCAGGUUGAAUAUUUCUUUUAAAUUGACUCUCUCCUUCCCUUAGAAAAAUCUUUUCUAGUACCCAAAAAAUUGGGUUGGAGAGAGUAAAUGUCUUCUAGUUUGCAUCAUGCCCUUGGAAACUAGCACCAGAGUCAUGAAGACUUAUGUAGGAAAAAUUUAACUGUACCUGAAGAGUUGGUGACCUUUGUCUUGCAACCUGGCAAUCAAUUAAUAUAUUACUUUGUUUUGGAGAACAGUUGAUACUUCACUUGAUAAUCAUAAGAAUUAUUAUAAGAGUUAGACUCCAGUUCAAAUGAGAUUUUUAGAACUUUUCUUUUAGUGGGUUUUUAAAAAUAUCUUUCAAAUCAUUGGUUUAAUAAAGCAAUCUUAAGUUUUGCCUCUCUCCA
rnacentral:lncRNA from 1 species